rnacentral:lncRNA from 1 species
UUUGUAUUUUGAUGAUUAAAGAUGUUUAAAUGAAAGAAUGUAAAAGCUUAAAGUUUUUGGGAUCAAAACAUGUUAUGUAAUUUUGGGAGAUUAUGUGAUGUAAAAAGAAAUGAUGUAAAAGAAUGUAAAUGUACAAGUUGCAUGCAUGUAUGUGAUUCAAAAGUUAAUCAUUGUACUUGUAUAUUGUUUAGUUUAGUACUUUCACUUCUGGCUAUUGAUUGCCCUCGUGCAAGUCAUAUAUAUUUAUAUUUUCGCAUGUGCAAAAUUUAUACUCGAUUUGUACUUGUGUUCAGCCUUGGGCGGACAGGAAAGGUGCUGUCCAUUCGGCGUCUGUUCGACGUGCCCGAACCGACCAAAU